AAGCCGGCGGUCCCAAAUCCAUGCAAGUCGAGCGGACAGAAGGGAGCUUGCUCCCGGAUGUUAGCGGCGGACGGGUGAGUAACACGUGGGUAACCUGCCUGUAAGACUGGGAUAACUCCGGGAAACCGGAGCUAAUACCGGAUAGUUCCUUGAACCGCAUGGUUCAAGGAUGAAAGACGGUUUCGGCUGUCACUUACAGAUGGACCCGCGGCGCAUUAGCUAGUUGGUGAGGUAACGGCUCACCAAGGCGACGAUGCGUAGCCGACCUGAGAGGGUGAUCGGCCACACUGGGACUGAGACACGGCCCAGACUCCUACGGGAGGCAGCAGUAGGGAAUCUUCCGCAAUGGACGAAAGUCUGACGGAGCAACGCCGCGUGAGUGAUGAAGGUUUUCGGAUCGUAAAGCUCUGUUGUUAGGGAAGAACAAGUGCAAGAGUAACUGCUUGCACCUUGACGGUACCUAACCAGAAAGCCACGGCUAACUACGUGCCAGCAGCCGCGGUAAUACGUAGGUGGCAAGCGUUGUCCGGAAUUAUUGGGCGUAAAGGGCUCGCAGGCGGUUUCUUAAGUCUGAUGUGAAAGCCCCCGGCUCAACCGGGGAGGGUCAUUGGAAACUGGGAAACUUGAGUGCAGAAGAGGAGAGUGGAAUUCCACGUGUAGCGGUGAAAUGCGUAGAGAUGUGGAGGAACACCAGUGGCGAAGGCGACUCUCUGGUCUGUAACUGACGCUGAGGAGCGAAAGCGUGGGGAGCGAACAGGAUUAGAUACCCUGGUAGUCCACGCCGUAAACGAUGAGUGCUAAGUGUUAGGGGGUUUCCGCCCCUUAGUGCUGCAGCUAACGCAUUAAGCACUCCGCCUGGGGAGUACGGUCGCAAGACUGAAACUCAAAGGAAUUGACGGGGGCCCGCACAAGCGGUGGAGCAUGUGGUUUAAUUCGAAGCACGCGAAGAACCUUAACAGGUCUUGACAUCCUCUGACACCCUAGAGAUAGGGCUUUCCCUUCGGGGACAGAGUGACAGUGGUGCAUGGUUGUCGUCAGCUCGUGUCGUGAGAUGUUGGGUUAAGUCCCGCAACGAGCCGCAACCCUUGAUCUUAGUUGCCAGCAUUCAGGUGGGCACUCUAAGGUGACUGCGUUACAACCGGAAGGAAGGUGGGGAUGACGUCGAAUCAUCAUGGCCCCUUAUGACUUGGGCUACCACGUGGCUACAUAUGGACAGAU
rnacentral:rRNA from 1 species